rnacentral:rRNA from 1 species
GAUUGUGGCGACGGGUGAGUACACGUGGGCAAUCUGCCCUUCACUCUGGGACAAGCCCUGGAAACGGGGUCUAAUACCGGAUAACACUCUGUCCCGCAUGGGACGGGGUUAAAAGCUCCGGCGGUGAAGGAUGAGCCCGCGGCCUAUCAGCUUGUUGGUGGGGUGAUGGCCUACCAAGGCGACGACGGGUAGCCGGCCUGAGAGGGCGACCGGCCACACUGGGACUGAGACACGGCCCAGACUCCUACGGGAGGCAGCAGUGGGGAAUAUUGCACAAUGGGCGAAAGCCUGAUGCAGCGACGCCGCGUGAGGGAUGACGGCCUUCGGGUUGUAAACCUCUUUCAGCAGGGAAGAAGCGAAAGUGACGGUACCUGCAGAAGAAGCGCCGGCUAACUACGUGCCAGCAG